rnacentral:rRNA from 1 species
GUGGGGAAUUUUGGACAAUGGGCGCAAGCCUGAUCCAGCAAUGCCGCGUGCAGGAUGAAGGCCUUCGGGUUGUAAACUGCUUUUGUACGGAACGAAAAGCUUCGGGCUAAUACCCUGGAGUCAUGACGGUACCGUAAGAAUAAGCACCGGCUAACUACGUGCCAGCAGCCGCGGUAAUACGUAGGGUGCAAGCGUUAAUCGGAAUUACUGGGCGUAAAGCGUGCGCAGGCGGUUUUGUAAGACAGAGGUGAAAUCCCCGGGCUCAACCUGGGAACUGCCUUUGUGACUGCAAGGCUAGAGUACGGCAGAGGGGGAUGGAAUUCCGCGUGUAGCAGUGAAAUGCGUAGAUAUGCGGAGGAACACCGAUGGCGAAGGCAAUCCCCUGGGCCUGUACUGACGCUCAUGCACGAAAGCGUGGGGAGCAAACAGGAUUAGAUACCCUGGUAGUCC